GACGACGAUGGAUAGGGGUUCUGAGAGGAAGGUCCCCCACAUUGGAACUGAGACACGGUCCAAACUCCUACGGGAGGCAGCAGUGAGGAAUAUUGGUCAAUGGACGAGAGUCUGAACCAGCCAAGUAGCGUGAAGGAUGACUGCCCUAUGGGUUGUAAACUUCUUUUAUAUGGGAAUAAAACAGGGUAUGCGUACCCUCUUGUAUGUACCAUAUGAAUAAGGAUCGGCUAACUCCGUGCCAGCAGCCGCGGUAAUACGGAGGAUCCGAGCGUUAUCCGGAUUUAUUGGGUUUAAAGGGAGCGUAGGUGGAUUGUUAAGUCAGUUGUGAAAGUUUGCGGCUCAACCGUAAAAUUGCAGUUGAAACUGGCAGUCUUGAGUACAGUAGAGGUGGGCGGAAUUCGUGGUGUAGCGGUGAAAUGCUUAGAUAUCACGAAGAACUCCGAUUGCGAAGGCAGCUCACUGGACUGCAACUGACACUGAUGCUCGAAAGUGUGGGUAUCAAACAGGAUUAGAUACCCUGGUAGUCCACACAGUAAACGAUGAAUACUCGCUGUUUGCGAUAUACAGUAA
rnacentral:rRNA from 1 species